rnacentral:snRNA from 1 species
AUACUUACCUGACCAGGAAGAUUCCAUGAUCAUGAAGGUGGUUUUCCCAGGAUGAGGCAGGCUUAUCCAUUGCACUCCAGAUGUGCUGACCCUUGAAAUUUCCCCAAAUACAGGAAACUUGACUGCAUUGA